UGUAAAUCAGGGUGUAGAUAGUGCCAUAGAUAAGACUGCCCCAUUUUACUAACACUCCCCCGUUUUGUUUUUUAUAAAGCAGGAGUUGUAUGGGGUUACAUUAGUCCCAAAAGUCCAGGACGGGUAGAGGGACGAUGGUCUUUAGUGCUACUUCCUGCUGACAUUGGGCGAUAAGGCACUCUUCGUUGGCAUGGGGCAAUGUGUCAAGCUGCUGUCUCCUGGGUGGGGAGCCGAGUAUAUCCCUGUAGCAGCAUUUGAUUGACUGCCUGGUUGCUGAAUUUUCAGUUGUUCUAUUAAAUGCAGGUCCACAAAGUUUCUUCUGUGGCCAAAAUGUCCUUUCUCUUUAAAGUACAAGAAACCAGGUCUGUUAAAGCAUUUUCCAUGGGUCUUGAGUGUUCUUUAUUUGUUACUGCUUUGUGGUCACUUUCUAAACUUCCAGAUUAUCCAGCUGGUGUUCAUUUUCUUAAGUGCCUUGGAUUUGUGUACUUUCCUGAUUUCAUCAGCUACAAAACAUUGGUUCAAAUAACUCUUUUCUUGUCCUGUUCCCAUGGUUUUACACUUACGUCAGCCCCAUUCGCAAUCAAGUGAAUUGAUCACAAUGUUUGAAAAUUUUAAGAUCAUGCAUCUUAACUGGUUUUCAGUUGUUAAAACUGUGUUAUUUUAGGUGAUUGCUAACACUAAAGAAGAAUUCAUGUGACUACAUGUUUCAAAGUGAGUGGGCCCAUAUCUUAUUUUUCACAUUGAUUGAACUUCUUAACUUCCAUCCAAGAUACAGAGUCUACAUGGUCCUCGGCAUUAUAACACGAUAUAUGGUGACUGUUAUUUUGACUGGAGCAUAACUUGGGCAUUAGGUGAAAGAUACUUUUCUUGCAAAUGCAAAGUUCUGAUCUCCAGUUUAAGCCCUUACUUGCACUGAAAAGUUUCUAUAAACUUUCAUAAUGGACCAUUUUUACCUUUGUCCUUCUAGAUCUGCUUUCUACCCUUUUUCCUCUUGCUUUGUUCCCAGAGAGCUCAUUUAUAUGGCCUGUAUAAACAAUUUCCUUGCUUUCUGGAUUUUAUCUAAUUUUGAAAAUUCUUAAUAAGUUUUUUUAUUUGCUUGAAGGGGGGGGGGAGAGAGAGAGAGAGAGAGAGAGGAAAUGAGAGACAGAGAGAGGUUUCUCAUCUACUAAUUUGUUCUUGAAAUGCCCACACAGCUGGAGUUGGGACUAGUUGAAUCCAGGAUCUGGAAGCACAAUCCAAGUCUCAGAUGGUGGGAAGAACCAACUACUUCAGCCAUCAUUAUGGCUUUCCAAGGUCUGCAUCAGCAGGAAGCUGGAGUCGGGAAUCAGAGCCAAUUAUCGAAUUCAGACACUCCACUGUGGGACAGGCAUCUUGAUACCUGAGCUAAGUGCUGAACCUUUCAUUUUACUUGUAAAGGAUGUGCGAGAUGUACGUGUUAUAUUAGGAUGCAUGUAUCCUCUAUCUUCUAUCUUUGUAGCCUAUCUGAAAAGCAGUUUAGCUUGCAAUUGAUCCUUUCUGCUUCUUGUGUCAUGGCGUUACUGAGAGGACCGGAGUAGAUAGACACAAUCUUCUAAGAGAUCAAUUUCAUGUUUUCAUUUUUCUUUAUAUACUUGUAACUAUGUAAAUACUUAUUUUUGAUAUUUUCAUUGGAAUGGUUUCAUCCAUUCUCAGGGCCAAGGGCAACCUGGAAAAUAAGCACCUGUGCCAAUAGCCUGGAUAUUACCACAACAGUGGCAUGAAUGCAGAGAUACGCCAAUGCUGUUGCUGAACUGCUGCUAGAAAUAGUGUACAGUGGCAGACCUUCUUCCAUGGUAAAGUAGCAAUGCAAACUAUCCCUGUCCACGGGCAGCAGGCUUGGGCCAUUUUGCAGCAAAGGGCAGUGAACCUGACAGAAGGUGGUGCUAUGCAAAGCAGAGAGAAGUCAUCUGAGAGUCUCAUCUAAGGAGAUGGCAGACUGUAACAACAGCUGUUUCUCCUGUGUUCCAGCUGCAGAAUUCAG